AACGAACGCUGGCGGCAUGCCUAACACAUGCAAGUCGAACGGGAUCCUAGCUUGCUAGGUGAGAGUGGCGGACGGGUGAGUAACACGUGGGAAUCUGCCUUUGGUUCGGGAUAACCGCGGGAAACUGCGGCUAAUACCGAAUGCCCUCGAGAGAGGAAAGAUUUAUCGCCAGAAGAGGAGCCCGCGUCCGAUUAGGUAGUUGGUGGGGUAAAGGCCUACCAAGCCGACGAUCGGUAGCUGGUCUGAGAGGAUGAUCAGCCACACUGGGACUGAGAUACGGCCCAGACUCCUACGGGAGGCAGCAGUGGGGAAUAUUGGACAAUGGGGGCAACCCUGAUCCAGCAAUGCCGCGUGAGUGAUGAAGGCCUCGGGUUGUUAAAACUCUUUCGCGCACGACGAUAAUGACGGUAGUGCGAGAAGAAGACUCCGGCUAACUUCGUGCCAGCAGCCGCGGUAAU
rnacentral:rRNA from 1 species